rnacentral:rRNA from 1 species
GAUGAACGCUGGCGGCGUGCCUAAUACAUGCAAGUCGAGCGAACGGACGAGAAGCUUGCCUCUCUGAUGUUAGCGGCGGACGGGUGAGUAACACGUGGAUAACCUACCUAUAAGACUGGGAUAACUUCGGGAAACCGGAGCUAAUACCGGAUAAUAUUUUGAACCGCAUGGUUCAAAAGUGAAAGACGGUCUUGCUGUCACUUAUAGAUGGAUCCGCGCUGCAUUAGCUAGUUGGUAAGGUAACGGCUUACCAAGGCAACGAUGCAUAGCCGACCUGAGAGGGUGAUCGGCCACACUGGAACUGAGACACGGUCCAGACUCCUACGGGAGGCAGCAGUAGGGAAUCUUCCGCAAUCGGCGAAAGCCUGACGGAGCAACGCCGCGUGAGUGAUGAAGGUCUUCGGAUCGUAAAACUCUGUUAUUAGGGAAGAACAUAUGUGUAAGUAACUGUGCACAUCUUGACGGUACCUAAUCAGAAAGCCACGGCUAACUACGUG